ensembl:lncRNA
UGAGAGGACAGCAAACCAAGCACAAUCCACUUUCCACUGUGAGGAAGACUUUGAGUUAGACGGGCUAUCGGUUUUUCACCUAUCAUCAAGCCAUCCAUCUACCUACCUCACAGACAGCGAACACUUGACAUGUACUAUUUUGGCAUUGUACAUAUUAUACAGUAGUUUUGGACACAGUAUAACAGUGCACGAGUCUCCGUGUCCACAUGUGCCAAAUGCGCACAGACACAGGGCUGCUCAUUCAGCCCUGGCCAUUUGAAUUUUCUCUUAUUUUCUCUAUCUCUGUUAUAUUUUAAAUCUUCACAGCAGCGUGAGCACACUGUCUUAGCUGUAAAAUGUAGGCUUAUAUUAUUACCCCUCUAACCCCGUACAUUACGCCCGUGAGUGUGUAUUAGAGAAGGCACACACAGGCUGAAUACGGGGACUAACGGGCCCUCAGCAUAUGUGGGAGUCCCGUCAGUCCCCAGUACCGCGAGUUCCCGGGGACCACAGGGUCACCGGGAAAUGACGGAGCCUUAGUAAGAAUGAGAUCCCGCUAUUCCACGGGUCCGUCACUCCCCCUUCUAUAGAUUCUGGGGACUGACGGGGCCGGGUACUAGAGGUAAGGACUCGUUAAAGAGCAGUAUGAGAUGUUUGCUUCAGAAAUCCUGACCUUGCAAUAGAAAUGUAAACAUUCAGUCAUUUUGAAUUUACCACAAUGUCUUCUGCUUCCAUAUGAAUUCAAACAUGAAGACUGAACAUGCGCUGGGGUACAGGUUACGUCUGUGUUCAGCUUCAGUUGCAUCAAUAAGCUCCCCUCUAUACUCGACCACAAAGUCUCCUUGUUUGAAAUUGGCUAAAGUGAAGAUGCCACGACCUGAAGACACAACCAUAUUAGAGACACAGGCGUGGCAGCACUGCAAAUAAUCAAUUCAUUAAAUAUGUAUAUCUGUAAAUUGCAAGUAUGCAAUGUUGUGCUUUUUUCAAUUCUACAUAGAUAAUAAAGAAAACAUGUCAAAGUGCAGAAAACAUAAAUAGCCAGGCUCGCUAAUAACUAAAUUACUAUUAAAAUACCUUUAAUUUUAAUUUAUAUUGAUGUUUGUACAGGUCACCACUGGUGAUGCGUAACCCCUCAGUCUAGCCUGCAGUGUGUCAAAGUCACUCACCUUUAAC